rnacentral:lncRNA from 1 species
AAUCAUCUUUGCUGCUAGGGAAGCUGCUAGGAAGAAGAUUGAGGCUGCUUCAGCCGCCUCAAGGCAUGCUGAAAAUUUGGAUGCCAUAGUAAAAGCUGCUGAAUUGGCAGCAGAAGCUGUAUCACAAGCAGGGAAAGUUGUUGCAAUGGGUGAUCCUUUGCCUAUUAGUAAAUUGGUUGAGGCUGGUCCAGAAAAUUAUUGGAAAGGUGCAAAAUUACCUUCUGGGCAGGGUGGCAAGUCAAACAUGGUUGGAAACAAGUCGAGCAUCAACAGUGUUGAGGAAGUGGCUGAUGUUGUUCUGGACCACUCAGUGAAGGAGGUACAUACUAGAAACAAUGGUGUUUCACCUUUCCCUAAAGAGACAUCCAAGGAGAACCACAGUAAGGGAGGUGAGGGCAUUUCUGCUACUGACACUCGAGUUGAAAAGGAUUUUAGAGGGCAAAAGAGUCGUAGAGCAUCAGAUUCAAGGAAGGCUACAGAUGAUGUUCAUGAGGCGGUGAUUGGAUCAAGAUCUAUGGCAGAUGAAAAUAUGAUUGUUACCUUUAAUGACAAUGGCAUAAAAGAGAGUAGCCUUGUUGAGGUAUGUAGGUUUUAACGGUCUAGAAUUUUGGAUUUUUGCAAUUUAUUGCAGUUUAAGACUGGCAUGUUCAAUUUGCUGAAUGCCUGCCUCUUUAAGUUUUCUUGAUCCUUGUUUCAUGGGCUAUGAUAUUCUUCAAAACUGUACGCUAUUUGUCUUAAAGGAUAUAAAUAAACUAUGCUGUUUGUCUAUAAUGUUUAACAUCUGAGAUAUGUUAUUCAGUUAGCUGCCUUUUAUUCAAGGUUUUCAAAGACAAUGGGGAUUUCACUGGAGCCUGGUUUUCUGCCAACGUAUUGAGUUUGAAGGAUGGAAAAGCCUUGGUUUGCUACACUGAUUUGGAAUCAGAUGAAGGUAAGCUCCCUAUGCAACAUGUUUCAGUAUGACAUGCAUCAUAUUUGAGACACAUACCGUGGGACGUUAGGCAGAGUGCUAAGUUUUAGGAAUGUUACCCCACUAUCACCUUAGUGUUAAAUUCCAGGUUGACCUCUCAAUUCGCAUUUUAAUAUCAUCUCGAGUCUAUAAUUUCUUAUAUCUCCUUGUGUCUGACAACCAUUCAGGCUGACACGAGCAACCCUGUUACAGUAUAUCAGUUCCAACUGAAGCUAUGCCUGCCUAUUUAGGCUAGUAUCAGAAAGCUUUCAUUGAGUGAAAUCUAUGGCAUGUCUGAGUGGCUUCCUUUUUUCCUAUAGCACAAUGCAGAGUGCUUGUCCAUUUGCCCAACCAGUUGAAGAGAUGGAGGAAACUUAUCUCAGAAAGUUGGACAAUGUGAUCAUGGAAUAAAUCUUGCAAUUUAAAUAAAAGCCUCAGAUAUACCACUGUGAAAGUUGAUUGUUUUGUCACACAGACUAAAAUCCUGGUGUGUUAGCCCCUUCCCCGAAGGGAAGAGGAAAGUAUUGGAGGAUAACAUUGCAUUGGUGUAUAACUAGAAACACCUUACUUUCUCAAGAAACUUGUCAUGCAUACCUUGUUGUCACAAAGUCCAUGCAUUAAUUCUUCUAAAAUCAUAGGCAGACUCAACUAUCCAUUCUUGCCAAGCAUCAGAUUGUGGUGAGAAUCUAAGAAGUCCUUUGUGUAAUAUUUUGGCUUCAUAAAAGCUAGAGUCAGGUUAUCAUACAAGGCUCUGCAUUUUGUAUAAUCGGUCUUUGACCUGCUAGGAUUUUAGUUAUGCACAGUAAGCAUGGUUUAUGGCAUGGUGACAUUUGGUUUGGGAAAACUGUUCUUGAUAAAGUAUAUCUGUAGUAUAUUCAACUAUUAUAGAAUAUUUAUUCUUAAUUCUCGGUGUAGGGUCGGCAAAACUGAAGGAGUGGAUACCACUUGAAGCAGAAGGGAGUAAACAGCCAAGAAUACGGCUUGCCCAUCCUAUGACUAGCAUAACAUCUGAAGGGACAAGGAAGAGGCGGAGAGCAGCUGCAAGAGAUUAUACUUGGUCUGUUGAUGACAGAGUUGAUGCAUGGAUAGAAAAUUGGUGAGAUCCCCUACAUCUCUCUGUGAAUAUUUUUGGAGCUUUAAUAUGUUUGCUAGUGGCUUAUAGUAGAGUGAACAGUUUAAGUCCUUUUCCUUGUCCUAGGUUAUUUAAUAGGUUUUAUUACCAAUUGUUGUGAUUACUUCCUAUUUAAAUGUUCUGGUGACAGUUUCCCUGCCUAAUGUGCCCAAUAAGUUCUGCAUGUUGUGGUUGUGUUGGUAAAUUUUCAUGAUUUGUCUUCUUGAUGGUUGAGAAUGUUAAUGGCAAAUCACAGGAGGUUUAUCUACCAAAAUGACAGAGAAAUAAAUAAAUGGGUGUUUAUAUUUCAAGUUAUUGCCUUCAUAGACUCUUUGUUGCAUUCAGAAAGGAGAAAGAUUCACUGCAAGUGUUGUCAACUUGUUAGUAAAUGUAACUUAGGUGCCUCAAAUCAUAGACCAAGGCAGAAAGAUUUUUGGUGACAGGAAGAGGGAGGGAGCUAUCUUCAUGGGAUGUCUUAACAUGUGUAAUUUUUCCUUCUUUUUCCAAACCUUCUUCCAUUGUGUAAUUUUUGUACGUCUUAACAUGUCAGUUAUGGUAGACUUCAUUCUGAGCACUGUCAAACAAUGAGAGUCGAGUGUGUGCGCAUGUUUGUUCAUGAAUUUUUUUUGUGUGUUGUUGAUGUAUGAUGCAUUUAGACAACCUAAGGAAGCUUUUAACCUAGAAUGCAUUAAAAUAUUGGAUGACCUUUUAUGGAAAAGAUGCGGCAACUUGAAUUUGCAUCCAGAAUUAUUUAGCGGAAAAUGCCAAACAAUACAAAAGGAGAGGAAAUUAUGCUUCUUUUUAAGAGUCUAUACAUUAUUAACAUACAUUUUCAUUUUUCUUGUUUCCUUGAAAUAUAGUGUGAGCGUUAUUUUGGUGAUAUCUUGUCUGUGGAACUUUGUCAAUAGAGAGUUAAAAUGUCUUAGAUUUGAACUGCUGUUAGAUCUCUGUACUUGAGCUGUGAUGUCAUGUUGUUUGACAGAAAAACUAACUAUUUUGAACCUGCUUUCUCAAUGUUUUUUAGCUGGCGUGAAGGAGUGAUUAUAGAAAAGAACAAAAAGGAUGAGACUACAUUGAGUGUUCACUUUCCAGGUAUUUCUGGUUGCACACCCCAGAAUUUUUGUGUUUCAUAAAAAGAUGAUCAGGUUUUUCCACAGAUAAAUUUUUUCAUGUGUUUCCUCUGCAGCUCAAGGAAAAACGUCAGUUGUUAGAGCAUGGCAUCUCAGGCCAACCCUUGUAUGGAAAGAUGGGGAGUGGAUUGAGUGGGCAAAUUUCAAAGAGUCUUUGCAGGUUUAACACUAUUUCUUGUUCAUAUUUAUUUUUUCAUGAAUCUCCAUUUCCCCAACUUAUUGGUCGCUAUUUGUUUGUUUACUUUAUGAAUUUUCAGGGUGAUACACCACAGGAGAAGCGAAUAAAGCUGGGAAGUCCUCCUGUUGAGGGCAAAGGGAAGAGCAAAAUAUCAAAGAAUGUGGAUUAUGCUGAAUCAGGGAAACCUGAGGAUUCAAGGUUGCUGCCUUUAUCUGCUAGUGAUAAAGUAUUCAACGUUGGCAGUACCAGGAAUGAAAACAAGCCCGAGACUCUUAUAACAGUGAGGUCUGGUUUACAGAAGGAAGGUUCUAAAGUUAUUUUUGGCGUUCCCAAGCCUGGGAAGAAAAGAAAAUUUAUGGAAGUUAGCAAGCACUAUGUUUCUGAUCGUAGCAUAAAGAGCAAUGCUUCAAAUGACUCAGAGAAAUUCACAAAGUACUUAAUGCCUCAAGGACCAGGACCUCGUGGAUGGAAGAGUAGUUCCAAAAUUGAUUCAAAGGAAAAGCAAACAGCUGAGUUCAAUAAACAUAGGGGUCUUAAGUCUGGAAAACCUCCAGGUUUGUCUGCUAGAACAUUACCUCAGAGAGAGAAUUCUGUGGUAUCUUUGGCUGCUUCAAAGGAUGCAAGCUUAACAGAUGAUCUGGCAAAGAAUUCAACCAGCAAUGAUGAGAAUGAUUCAGGUCAGCAGAAUCUUAUUGACUUUGUGUCCUCUUCGAAUGUUGAAGAGACAGCCGAAGAACCUAUAUCGUCCUCUUCGCAAGUUCCUCCCCCAGAGUUUCCAAGGAGAGCAGCCACUCUGGGUACCAAAUCUGAGCGGCUGAAGAAAGGAAAGCCUCCGCCUGCUGGUGGGAAGUCAGCUAAGGUUGAGUUGAAGGACAAACCAAUUCCUGAAGCUGUUGAACCCCGUAGAUCAAAUCGCAGGAUUCAGCCAACAUCAAGGGUAAGUACCAAAAUGUAAACUGUUAUAUUUGCAGUUGGAUCUACACAAAAGCAGAUUUGCCUAACCAGUUUAACUUUAAUCAAAUUCCUUUGCUUUAAAUUUGUACUCAACAUCAAGAUUUGGUGCAUAUUCAGCCAUCUGACCUUAUUUGAGAUAGGGAUUAGUUAAUGCAAAGAAAAUGAAGAAUGUGGGAAAUUUGAAUAGCAACAUUGCUUUUAUGAUUUUGGUGUCAUUGAAUUUAUAUAUUCUCUCUGCCUGCAGAAGGUCAUAUAAAGAAGGGCCUUGCUCUGAUUGUCUGUUCAUGAGAGCAUUGUGCACUGGCUUGUAGUAGUAAAUAAAUAUUGGAAUCAAAUCAAUUGGAACUGUAAACAGAAUUGUGGCUUUGAUAUGAUCUUGAUAAUUGGCUAAUGUCUUCCCUUUUUCUGUUUCUGAUACUCUAUAUAAUGUUCCGUAACAAGUUUCCUUUGGUUUUUAUACCAAGCUGUGAUCUCAUAUUUUGCUUUGACUCAGAGUAGAUCUCAAUUUAUCUUUUGGGGUUAAGAC